GACGGAGGAUGCAAGUGUUAUCCGGAAUCACUGGGCGUAAAGCGUCUGUAGGUGGUUUAAAAAGUCUGCUGUUAAAAAUUGAAGCUUAACUUCAAAGGUGCCGUAGAAACUUUUAAACUAGAGUAUGAUAGGGGUAGAGGGAAUUUCCAGUGGAGCGGUGAAAUGCGCAGAUAUCAGGAGGAACACCGAUGGCGAAGGCAGGUCUCUGGGCCGAUACUGACGCUGAGGAGCGAAAGCGUGGGGAGCGAACAGG
rnacentral:rRNA from 1 species